rnacentral:rRNA from 1 species
GAAUCUUCCGCAAUGGACGAAAGUCUGACGGAGCGACGCCGCGUGGUGGAUGAAGCGUUUCGGCGCGUAAACACCUUUUAUGAGGGAAGAAGUAUAUUGACAUUACCUCAUGAAUAAGGGGCUCCCAAUUCUGUGCCAGCAGGAGCGGUAAUACAGAAGCCUCAAGCGUUACCCGGAUUCACUGGGCGUAAAGGGUGCGUAGGCGGUUAUAUUAGUCGGGUGUUAAAUCCUGAGGCUCAACCUCAGGCUCGCAUCCGAAACGGUAUAACUUGAAGACGUCAGAGGUAAGCAGAACUCUCGGUGUAGGGGUGAAAUCCGUUGAUAUCGAGGGGAAUACCAAAUGCGAAGGCAGCUUACUGGGACGUUCUUGACGCUGAGGCACGAAAGCGUGGGUAGCGAACGGG